CAGAGCAAGCGCACGAAGGCGUACACGGCAGCCGAGGACAAGCUUCUUUGCGAGUGUCGGCGAGACAUUGGACAAGACUCCAAGACGGGUGCCGAGCAAAAGCAUUCAACCUUUUGGAUUCGUGUCCACCGAGAGUUUCAUGAGCGCAAGAAGUUUCCGCCUUACCAAUUUGUGAGCACACGUGGGUGGGUCUCCAUUUCCAAAUGUUGGAGCGUGAUCCAACAAGAGCAACAAGUUUUGUGCCAUUCUUGA
rnacentral:rRNA from 1 species